GGAAGGAUCAUUACCAACGGUCUUCUGACCUUAAACAACCUGUGGUCUAAACACUGUAUUUGGGGGGUAUUUCGGUACCCCUCCUUGAAAACCUAUGUUUGUUUGUUGGAACUUUAAAUAAUACAACUGUUAACGGUGGAUCCCUAGGCUCAUGCAUCGAUGAAGAACGUAACAAAUUGCGAUACGUAAUGCGAAUUGCAGUUAUUCGUGAGUCAUCGAAUUUUCGAACGCACAUUGCGGUCUUUCUUUGGAAGACCAUAUCUGUUCGAGUGUCAUUUUUCUAAUCACCUUCGGGUGGAAGUGGAAGUCACAUAAGUGUCUUCUUAAAUUAGAUUCUGCGGCCUAACAAGUCGCGGAAGCAUGAUAGAAAUGUCGUGCUUCAAAUCAAAAUUCGACCUCGAAUCAGAUAAGACUACCCGCUGAACUUAAGCAUAUUAAUAAGCGGAGGAAAAGAAACUAACAAGGAUUUCCUCAGUAACGGCGAGUGAAGAGGAAAUAGUCCAAGUCGAAGGCUUUGCGGUUUCCGCAACGCGAUGCGAUUUGAAGGAGCAAGUCUAGAUAAGUGUUAUGACAUAAUUCCGUUGGAAAACGGAAUCAAAGAGGGUGAGAAUCCCGUAUUUGGUCAUAAUGCAAGUCAAUAUGACUUGUCUCCACCGAGUCGAGUAGUUUGGGAAUGCUGCUCAAAGUAGGUGGUAAAUUCCAUCUAAGACUAAAUAUUUGCAUGAGACCGAUAGCACACAAGUACCGUGAGGGAAAGGUGAAAAGGACUUUGAAAAGAGAGUCAAAAAGUACGUGAAACCGUUAACAGGGAAACGAAUGUCACCAACGCAGGGAAAGCGAAGCAGUGCGGGUAAUUCCGUGCGUAUUUCGUCUACCCGGCCAGUAUCGGUUGCCAACUUGUUAGAUUCUUGUGGGAAGGUGGUCCUGGUCUUCGGAUUUUGGACGUUAUAACCCGCAAUGCGUCUCAAGUGAACGACCGAGGUUCUCUUCCAAGUCACGGAAAUACUACGAUUUGCAUUUCGUAAAGGUAAAAUGGCAACAUAUUACUUUGAAAAUUUGUUGAUACGAGUUGAUCUAGUUUUGGAACAUAGAUGCUGGUCAGUUGGUUCCAUCCGUCCCGUCUUGAAACACGGACCAAGGAGUGCAACAUAUGCGCGAGUCUUCGGGUGAAAAACCUUGAGGCGCAAUUAACGUAAAGGGGACUUGUCUCCGAGAUGAGAUUUUUGCCUUGUGCAAUUUGCAUCAUCGACCGACCUUGAUGGUUUCCUGAAAGGUUUUAGUAAGAGCGUAUAUGUUGCGACCCGAAAGAUGGUGAACUAUGCCUGAACAGGGUGAAGCCUGAGGAAACUCAGGUGGAAGCUCGUAGCGAUUCUGACGUGCAAAUCGAUCGCUUGAUUUGGGUAUAGGGGCGAAAGACUAAUCGAACCAUCUAGUAGCUGGUUCCCUC
rnacentral:misc_RNA from 1 species